rnacentral:misc_RNA from 1 species
GAUAGACUGGUUGAGAGAAAGAAGCCGUCUAGCACAGAAGAAGUUUACGUAGAAUUUUGUGGGUUCAAAAUUGGCACUAGGGCAUUUGUGGAUUUCAACAAUUCCUUUUACCUUGAGGUUUUGUAAUUGUACUGAUGACUGGAGUAGUGAAAGAAUAUCUAUUUGUUAAUGAAUUUGUUUUAAGGAGAUAAGAAGGUUGUUUCCCAUUUGUUCGUGACAUGUCCUGCUACUGCAUACCAAAUUAAUCCAAGUCAUGACUAUCCU